UCGCAGCUGGUCCGGGAGCUCACGGCUCCUACGCCGGGGCGGAGAGGGGCCGGGUUUCGCUCCAGCGAGCUCCCGAGGCUUCCGCUGCACCCCGGGGCUGUCAGUUUGGAGGAAGGCAGAAGGGCCCAACCCUGCCCUCCGGCCUCCCUGGUCCCUUCAGGGGCUGCUAGCCUGGCGACUGCCGGGGGAGAGCUCAGGGCUUGCACUUGGCGUUCGCGGCCCUUGGAUGGCUCGGGCCCCACCUGGAAGCCCCACCUAGCUGGGAUGAGACACUGAACACAAGUCCUUUAAAAAGUUGCGCUGGCCGUCCCGCUGUGAAGAGCCACGUCCUAAGCCGUGAGCGCUGGAGGCCGCCCUGGUGCCUGGGAGAAGACUGCACCCAGCAGAGUCCCCGACAGUGCCCACCACCCACAAGGACCAGGGCUGUGCAGGGCCCUCCCGCGGUGCCACAGGGAUGGGCAAGGGGGACACGGGGUCUACGGCCGGACAGGCGAGGAGAGGAGCUGCAGAGGUGGAGAGAGUGAGCUGGCAGGACUGGGCUUGUUUUCAGAUGCUUGGCUGCGCCAGAACCUAUGAAGGAACGAACGAACUGCUGGCAUCCGUAUUCCACUCCCUUGCAGGAGCCGGCUGGAGAAUGAAUGAAAUUCAACCCAGCGACAAGAACUGAGAGACCCUACCAGGGGUACCCUGUCCCCGGCGCCCCUCCUGGGGCACAGGCCCAGUCACACCCUCCUCUGCUCCUGUCUGGUACUGGGGGCUCCUGCAUCAGCAAACAGAACGGUUGACGCUCCUCACCUGCCCUCCAGUGACACUCCUUUCUCUCUGACCCGGCUGCUCUGCCCCACACACCCCUCCUGCUAUGCAGCAUUUUUCUAAGAUAAAUAUGAUGGCAUCACUCUCCUCCCCCAGCUGGUAAAAAUAAACAAAUAGAAACCAGAAUAACUGCUGAUGCCUCCCUACCUUCCUCAGGACGUGAAACAAGCUCUUUCAUAUGGCAUGUGUUCAACACUUGUUGAUUUAUUCAUCCAGCAAAUGUUUAUUGAGCUCCCAUGGUGUGCACAGCAGGGGGAACAGAGAGUGACCAGGUCAUCCGUGAUGACUUUACAGAGGGAGCUGGACUGGGGCAGCCAAGACAGAAGAGGAAAUGUGACGGACACAGAGAUGCUCAGAUGAUCAAAGAAACAUCUGGGGUGGGGAUGAUGGGGUGAUUAUCCCUUCUCAGACUGACAAAGACACCAAGACCUGCUAACGUCAAAUCCAUUAUCGGUUGACAGUGGACUGGCACAGGCUUCGUGGGGAGGAAGUCGGCAACGUCUGUCAGCACAAACACAGGUUCACCUGCAACCAGAAUUUCCACUUCUAGGAAAGUAUCCUUCACGGACACUUUUGUGAGCUCACAACAGAAGGGUUCUUACUCUUGGAAAGACUGGAAAUGGCCUGAUUGCUCAUUAAUAAAAAUCAGUUAAGUA